ACCUUGUUCUCGUUUUACAUAUCGGACCACUUACGUACUACUACAUUUAUGAUAGGGGCCGGGGGAUGCGAUCAUAAA
rnacentral:sRNA from 1 species